GACCAAUUGAAUUAUAUAUAGGGUAAGUGAAAGGCAAGUUGAUUCUUUACGAUGUUUAUGUCAAACACACGAUACAACUAACAAGUUGCUAUUUUAUUUCGAUGUUCAUGCCAUCACUCUUUUUUUUGUAUACGAGAGAAUUUUGUAAUUUUAUUUACGUGAUCAUUCUGAAUAAACUAUCAAUUCAAUAUUGAUUUUACCAUAUGUAAUUGUUUUUUUUUUUGGAGGCAACCAUAUGUAAUUGUUGGACCCACUAAGUAAUUU
rnacentral:lncRNA from 1 species